UACGUAGGGUGCGAGCGUUAAUCGGAAUUACUGGGCGUAAAGCGUGCGCAGGCGGCUUUAUAAGACAGAUGUGAAAUCCCUGGGCUCAACCUAGGAACUGCGUUUGUGACUGUAAAGCUGGAGUGCGGCAGAGGGGGGUGGAAUUCCACGUGUAGCAGUGAAAUGCGUAGAGAUGUGGAGGAACACCGAUGGCGGAGGCAGCCCCCUGGGUUGACACUGACGCUCAUGCACGAAAGCGUGGGGAGCAAACAGG
rnacentral:rRNA from 1 species